UGGGGAAUAUUGGACAAUGGGCGCAAGCCUGAUCCAGCCAUGCCGCGUGAGUGAUGAAGGCCCUAGGGUUGUAAAGCUCUUUCACCGGUGAAGAUAAUGACGGUAACCGGAGAAGAAGCCCCGGCUAACUUCGUGCCAGCAGCCGCGGUAAUACGAAGGGGGCUAGCGUUGUUCGGAUUUACUGGGCGUAAAGCGCACGUAGGCGGACUUUUAAGUCAGGGGUGAAAUCCCGGGGCUCAACCCCGGAACUGCCUUUGAUACUGGGAGUCUUGAGUAUGGUAUAGGUGAGGGGAAUUCCGAGUGUAGAGGUGAAAUUCGUAGAUAUUCGGAGGAACACCAGUGGCAAAGGCGGCUCGCAGGACCAUUACUGACGCUGAGGUGCGAAAGCGUGGGGAGCAAACAGG
rnacentral:rRNA from 1 species